rnacentral:tRNA from 1 species
UGGGAUGUCGUCCAAUGGCAAGACACACGGCUCUGGACCGUGGAAUCGGGGUUCGAAUCCCUGCAUCCCAG